GACGAACGCUGGCGGCGUGCUUAACACAUGCAAGUCGAACGGUAAGGCCCUUCGGGGUACACGAGUGGCGAACGGGUGAGUAACACGUGGGUGAUCUGCCCUGCACUUCGGGAUAAGCCUGGGAAACUGGGUCUAAUACCGGAUAGGACCCUGGGAUGCAUGUCCUGGGGUGGAAAGCUUUUGCGGUGUGGGAUGGGCCCGCGGCCUAUCAGCUUGUUGGUGGGGUGAUGGCCUACCAAGGCGACGACGGGUAGCCGGCCUGGGAGGGUGACCGGCCACACUGGGACUGAGAUACGGCCCAGACUCCUACGGGAGGCAGCAGUGGGGAAUAUUGCACAAUGGGCGCAAGCCUGAUGCAGCGACGCCGCGUGAGGGAUGACGGCCUUCGGGUUGUAAACCUCUUUCAGCACCGACGAAGCGCAAGUGACGGUAGGUGCAGAAGAAGGACCGGCCAACUACGUGCCAGCCGCCGCAAUAA
rnacentral:rRNA from 1 species